CGAGCGAGCUUGCCUAGAUGAUUUUAGUGCUUGCACUAAAUGAAACUAGAUACAAGCGAGCGGCGGACGGGUGAGUAACACGUGGGUAACCUGCCCAAGAGACUGGGAUAACACCUGGAAACAGAUGCUAAUACCGGAUAACAACACUAGACGCAUGUCUAGAGUUUGAAAGAUGGUUCUGCUAUCACUCUUGGAUGGACCUGCGGUGCAUUAGCUAGUUGGUAAGGUAACGGCUUACCAAGGCAAUGAUGCAUAGCCGAGUUGAGAGACUGAUCGGCCACAUUGGGACUGAGACACGGCCCAAACUCCUACGGGAGGCAGCAGUAGGGAAUCUUCCACAAUGGACGAAAGUCUGAUGGAGCAACGCCGCGUGAGUGAAGAAGGGUUUCGGCUCGUAAAGCUCUGUUGGUAGUGAAGAAAGAUAGAGGUAGUAACUGGCCUUUAUUUGACGGUAAUUACUUAGAAAGUCACGGCUAACUACGUGCCAGCAGCCGCGGUAAUACGUAGGUGGCAAGCGUUGUCCGGAUUUAUUGGGCGUAAAGCGAGUGCAGGCGGUUCAAUAAGUCUGAUGUGAAAGCCUUCGGCUCAACCGGAGAAUUGCAUCAGAAACUGUUGAACUUGAGUGCAGAAGAGGAGAGUGGAACUCCAUGUGUAGCGGUGGAAUGCGUAGAUAUAUGGAAGAACACCAGUGGCGAAGGCGGCUCUCUGGUCUGCAACUGACGCUGAGGCUCGAAAGCAUGGGUAGCGAACAGGAUUAGAUACCCUGGUAGUCCAUGCCGU
rnacentral:rRNA from 1 species